GCGGAUAUGGCGGAAUUGGCAGACGCGCUAGAUUUAGGUUCUGGUGGGGCAACCCGUGGGGGUUCAAGUCCCCCUAUCCGCA
rnacentral:tRNA from 1 species